UACGGAGGAUGCAAGCGUUAUCCGGAAUGAUUGGGCGUAAAGCGUCCGCAGGCGGCUAUGUAAGUCUGCUGUUAAAGAGUGAGGCUCAACCUCAUAAGAGCAGUGGAAACUACAUGGCUAGAGUGCGUUCGGGGCAGGGGGAAUUCCUGGUGUAGCGGUGAAAUGCGUAGAUAUCUGGAGGAACACCGGUGGCGAAGGCGGCAUCCUGGACCAACACUGACGCUGAGGAGCGAAAGCCAGGGGAGCAAACGGG
rnacentral:rRNA from 1 species